ACUGGUAUAUGUGAAAUCAGUAAACUCACCUUCUGUUCAUUUCUAACAAAGUUUCCAACCGUGAAGAAGGACUGCAUGGCGGAGUCCACCGUCCCUAAGGGGGCCAAAAGAUCCGUUACUUCCGAGCUACUAAAAAUGGCAAAAGAAGGAGAGAAGAGUGAAAGCGAGGUGGUGAAGAAAAUGUCAUCACCCUAUGAUCUGAGUGCCAGUGAUAAUCCUGGAAAUGUGAUUACACAGGUACAGUUAAAAGGAGAAAACUAUGAAGAAUGGGCUAAGGCGGUGAAGAUCUCUUUACGUGCUCGAAGAAAAUGGGGUUUCAUAGAUGGGACUCAUACGGAACCUGAAACAGACACCUCCAAGAUAGAAGAUUGGUGGACAAUUCAAUCAAUGCUCGUGUCUUGGAUAUUAAACACCAUUGAACCUAAUUUGCGUUCCACUAUUGCCUAUAUGGAAAAUGCAAAGGACCUCUGGGAUGACAUCAAAGAACGAUUCUCGAUCGUGAACGGACCAAGAAUCCAACAACUAAAGUCAAAAUUGGCGGAAUGCAAACAACAAGGAAUGACGAUGGUUGCCUAUUAUGGGAAGCUGAAAAUAUUGUGGGAUGAACUCGCAAAUUAUGAGCAAAUCCCACAGUGUAAAUGUGGUGGAUGCAAGUGUAAUAUUGCGACCAAACUCGAGAAACGAAGAGAAGAAGAAAGAGUUCAUCAAUUCUUGAUGGGACUAGAUGACGAGGGCUAUGGAACAACAAGGUCAAAUGUUUUGGCAACAGAUCCAUUACCCUCAUUAAACCGGGUGUAUGCCACUAUGGUGCAAGAAGAAAGAGUGAGAACGAUCACUCGAUCCAAAGAAGAGCGAGGAAUGAUAGUGGGAAUGGUUGUGCAAACAGAGACUAAGGGCAAGCUACGCAAUGAAGUAAAAGAAAAAUCAAUUGUGUGCACACAUUGUGGAAGGACAGGACAUGACAAGAGAAAUUGCUUCGAGAUCAUCGGUUAUCCAGACUGGUGGGGAGAAAGGCCACGAAAUGAAAAUAAAAGUGGCGGAAGACAUCAACAAAGGACAACGUUCUUCCGAGGGAAAGGAGUAACACCUCGUGUCAAUAUAGCGCAUACUAGUACAAGUAGUAGUGACUCGAAGUCAGAUACCAAGAAACCAGAAGUAGCAGGACUGAGUAAUGAGCAGUGGGAGAUCCUCGCAACCAUGUUGAAUUCUCAUAAAGCAAAUACAACUGAAAAGAUGACUGGUAAGAAAUCACGUGACUUGUGGAUUGUUGAUAGUGGUGCCUCUAACCAUAUGACAGGAACGCUAGACAACUUGUGGGAGAGUCGAACCUUGGAAGGAUGCCCUGUGGGACUGCCAAAUGGUGAAUUGGUAUUGGCAGACAAAGAAGGAUCAGUUUUUCUUGAUGGAGGACUAAAACUUGAAAAUGUUCUAUAUGUCCCGAAGUUGAAUUGUAACUUGAUUUCAGUGUCACAACUGAUAGAUGAAGCAAAAUGUACAGUGCAUUUUACUGAUAAAUUUUGUGCAAUGCAGGACCACACUUUGAGGAUGCUGAUUGGAGCGGGUGAACGGAAAGAUGGACUCUAUUGGUAUCGUGGUGUGAGUGACGUAAAAGCUCAUCAUAUCAAUACAGAAAGUCAACUUGAGAUUUGGCACAAGCGAAUGGGACAUCCCGCCUACCAAAUUGUUGAAAAGAUUCCGAAUAUGACAAUCACGCGUGGUGAUAAGAAUACAAGUAGAGUGUGUGAAGUAUGUGAAAAAUCAAAGCAAAGUAGGAAUAAAUUCCCUUUAAGUGAUUCUCAAGCAUCCAAUGUUUUCGAUUUAAUACAUUGUGAUUUAUGGGGUCCAUACAGAACUCUCUCUUCAUGUGGUGCAUCUUACUUUCUAACCUUGGUUGAUGAUUGUUCUCGAGCUGUGUGGAUAUACUUGUUGAACAGUAAGAAAGGUGUGUCGCAAACCUUAAUGAAUUUCAUCACUUUAAUAGAACGGCAAUACAAGAAACAAGUGAAAAUGAUACGAAGUGACAAUGGAACAGAGUUCAUGUGCCUUCAACAAUAUUUUCAGCUACAUGGGAUACUACAUCAAACUUCAUGUACUGGAACACCUCAGCAAAAUGGAAGAGUUGAGCGAAAACAUCAACACAUUCUAAAUGUAGCACGUGCUUUAAGGUUUCAAGGACAACUUCCGCUUAAAUUCUGGGGUGAAUGCAUUUUGACUGCAGGUUACUUGAUCAAUCGUACACCUUCAACAAUUCUCCAAGGAAAAACUCCAUAUGAAAUAGUUAAUGGGAACCCGCCUACCUAUGAUCACUUGCGGGUGUUUGGAUGCUUGUGUUAUGCACACAACCAAGAUAGGAAUGGUGAUAAAUUUGCAAGUAGAAGUCGCAAGAGUGUGUUUGUUGGAUAUUCGGCUGGACAGAAGGGGUGGAAAUUAUUUGAUCUAGAAAGAGAAGUUUUCUGGGUUUCGAGAGAUGUCAAGUUUGUUGAAAAUGAAUUUCCGUUUGCCUCUCUCAUUCAUAAGGAACCUUCAGAAAUGAAGUUGCCUUUCAUUAAUGCUGGUGUAGAAAAUCAUGACGAACACAUUGUGGAAAUUGAUGAAAAUGACCCUACGACCGAGACAGUGACCACAAAUGAGUUCAAUGGGGUUCAAGAUAACAGCCAUGAUCUAGAACUCGCAUCUCAAGUUGUUCCUUCACCAGAACAAACUUCUAGUUCGACAAUAGAAAACGAGGUUGACAAGAUGUCUACUGUGUCUUCUCCACUCGGGAAAGGUCACCGUGUACGACAACCAUCGGUGAAGCUUCGUGAUUAUGUCACUAACACCACCAUCCAAGUUAAGUCAUCAAUCCUCACUCCACAUUCAGUUUCCUCAGGUAUGUCUUACCCAUUGACAAAUUAUCUUAAUUGUGACAAAUUCUCCUUGCAACACAGAAUCUUUCUUGCAGCCCUUCAUGAAGAGCGAGAGCCAGUACACUUUUCCGAAGCAGUUCGGGAUGUUCGGUGGAGGGAUGCAAUGACUAAUGAAAUUGAUGCCCUCCAAAACAAUGGAACUUGGGACAUUAUAGCUUUGCCGGCAGGGAAAAAGCCUUUGGGAUGCAAGUGGAUUUACAAAAUUAAAUAUCACUCUGAUGGGAGUAUUGAACGUUUCAAAGCACGACUAGUUGUCUUGGGAAAUCACCAAGUUGAAGGGAUUGAUUACGAUGAAACCUUUGCCCCAGUGGCAAAGAUGGUCACCAUUCGAACAAUAUUAGCAGUCGCUGUUGCCAAAGACUGGGAACUUCAUCAAAUGGAUGUUCAUAAUGCUUUUCUGCACGGAGAUCUAGACGAAGCGGUGUAUAUGAAACUGCCACCAGGGUUCUUGGUGUCACAAAAUGGUUUGGUAUGUCGUCUCCGCAAGUCCAUUUAUGGGCUUCGUCAGGCCCCUCGGUGUUGGUUUGCUAAGCUCUCAAAUGCUCUUGACCAAUACGGAUUUCAACGCUCUCAAUCCGACCAUUCCUUGUUCACUUUUCGAAAAAAAGGUUGCACUCAGAGGCAAAAAAUUGGAGCAUGGAGAUGGAGAAGUAGUAAUAAUUGGGGGUAUGGUGUUGGACAUUCACGCUACACCUUCAGUGAGAGCAAAUUCUGGAACAACUGUCCCUGGCAAGGUCUAUUAUGUUAGAGGAGGUGUGGGGAGGAAUGUAGCAGAGUGCAUGUCAAAACUCGGAGCUAAGCCAUUCAUGAUCAGUGCUAUUGGGUUUGACAUGGCCGGAGCGUGGUUCGGGGAGACAGAUUGGAGAAGGAUAUGAAGCUGGUGGAUUAUACCAUUUUGGAUCUCGUCCAAGGGUGUCCUGUGUUGCUGCUGCUAAUCCUAAAGUGCUACAUGAUCGACUUGGCCAUCCUCAUUUGUCUAAAUUAAAAAAGAUGUGUCCUGAACUUAGUGGUCUCCAAACCUUAGAAUGUGAGUCAUGUCAAUUAGGAAAACAUGUUAGAUCUUCCUUUCCUAAAAGGUCUCAAUCAAUAUGUAAUUCUAGUUUUUCCAUCAUGCAUUCUGAUAUAUGGGGACCUAGUCGUAUCUCCUCCUUUGGUUUUAGAUAUUUUGUUACCUUUAUUGAUGAAUAUUCAAGAUGUACUUGGGUUUAUCUUAUGAAAAAUCGUUCUGAAUUGUUAGUUAUCUUAACAUCUUUUUUGAAUGAAAUCAAGAAUCAAUUUGGUCAAGUAAUCAAAAUAUUAAGAAGUGAUAAUGCAAAAGAGUAUUUCUCAUCCUCCUUUUCUACCAUCUUGAGUUCCCAUGGUAUCUUACAUCAGUCUACUUGUCCUCAUACACCACAGCAAAGUGGUAUAGCAGAACGAAAAAAUAGACACUUGGUUGAAACUGCUCGUACCCUUUUGCUUGGUGCCCAUAUUCUUGUCCAUCACUGGGGGAUGUCAUCUUAACUGCAUGUUAUCUUAUUAAUAGGAUGCCCUCCUCCUCUCUUAAUAAUAAAGUCCCUUUCUCCAUUUUGUUUCCUAAUGAUCUUCUCUUUCAUACAUCUCCCCGAGUGUUUGGCUGUGUAUGUUUUGUUCAUGACAUGUCUCCAUGUCUAGACAAACUCUCCGCUCGCGCUCUCAAAUGUGUCUUCUUAGGCUAUUCUCGACUUCAAAAAGGAUAUCGGUGUUACUCUCCUGAAACUAAGAAGUAUUACAUGUCUGCCAAUGUCACAUUCUUUGAACAGACUCCUUACUUCUCUCCAUCUGUUCAGGAUGUUUCUAUCCUCCAGCAGGUCCUUCCUAUUCCAAUGGCUGAGUCAAAUAGCUCCACUGUCUCUGUUAUUCCAAGUCUUGAUCACAAUCCUUCUACACCUAUUUCUCCACAUAUUGAGAUCAUCCCAUACAGGGCCCCAAUAGAUAGUCCACCUCCCCAAGACAAUGGUGAAUCUCCUACUUCAGAUUCUUUUCCCUCGUCACCUCCUCCCACGCCUCCUGGUGCAAAUGAUUCAGCAUGGCCUAUUGCCCUCAGAAAAGGUACUCGUUCCACUCGAAACCCUCAUCCCAUUUAUAAUUUUCUAAGCUAUCAUCGAUUGUCGCCCUCCUAUUUUUCUCUUUUAUCCUCAGUGUCCUCUGUUGUUAUACCCAAGAAUGUGAAAGAAGCACUUGAUCAUCCUGGAUGGCGACAAGCUAUGAUUGUAGAAAUUCAGGCUCUUGACCACAGUAAUACUUGGGAGCUGGUGCCCCUUCCCCCAGGAAAAAAGGCGGUUGGUUGUCGAUGGGUGUAUGCAGUUAAAGUUGGCCCUGAUGGUGAAAUUGAUUGGCUCAAAGCUCGACUUGUUGCAAAAGGUUACACUCAGGUUUAUGGUCUUGAUUAUUGUGACACUUUCUCUCCUGUAGCCAAGAUGACUACUAUUCGUCUCUUCUUUGCCAUGGCAGUCAUUCGUCACUGGCCACUUCAUCAAUUGGAUAUCAAGAAUGCCUUCCUACAUGGUAAUCUUGAGGAAGAAGUUUAUAUGGAGCAACCUCCUGGGUUUGUUGCUCAGGGGGAGUCUGGUAUGGUAUGCAAAUUGCAUCAAUCUCUAUAUGGCCUCAAGCAAUCCCCACGUGCUUGGUUUGGAAAGUUUAGCUCCAUUGUUCAAAAAUUUGGGCUAAAACGCAGUGAAGCAGACCAUUCAGUUUUUUAUUGUCAUUCUUCUCUUGGGAAAUGUGUUUACUUAAUAGUAUAUAUUACAGGAAAUGAUGUUGUUGGAAUAUCUCAACUAAAAGAGUACUCGUGUAGACAUUUUCAAACCAAGGAUCUUGGAAGUCUCAAAUACUUCUUAGGCAUUGAAGUAGCGCAAUCAAAAGAUGGAGUUGUAAUCUCCCAAAGGAAGUAUGCUCUUGAUAUAUUACAAGAAAUAGGCAUGAUUGAUUGUAGACCGGUAGACAGUCCCAUGGACCCAAACCAGAAAUUAAGGACAGAAGAAGGUGAAUUAUUCUCCGAUCCAGAGAGGUAUAGGAGGCUGGUUGGAAAACUGAUUUAUCUCACUAUUACAAGGCCAGAUCUAUCCUUUGUAGUUGGAGUGGUUAGUCAGUUCAUGCAGGCUCCAUGUGUUGACCAUUGGAAUGCUCUCAUUCGCAUUCUAAGGUAUGUAAAGAAGGCUCCCGGGCAAGGAUUUGUUAUAUGAAGAUAAAGGAAGCAUUCAGGUCUCUGGGUAUUGUGAUGCAAAUUGGGCAGGUUCACCUAUUGAUAGACGGUCUACUACAGGAUAUUGUGUUUUUCUGGGAGGAAACAUUAUUUCAUGGAAAAGUAAGAAAUAGAAUGUAGUAGCUCGAUCAACAGCAGAAGCCGAGUAUAGGGCAAUGGCAUCACUAACAUGUAAACUUAUAUGGGUGAAACAAUUCCUUCAAGAGGUUAAAUUUUGUGACAUCCAUACUAUGAAGAUGUAUUGCGACAAUCAAGUUGCUCUCCACAUUGCAUCAAAUCCAGUGUUUCACGAGAGGACUAAACAUAUAGAAAUUGAUUGUCAUUUUGUUCGUGAAAAGUUGUUGACCAAAGAAAUAUGUACUGAGUUUAUUGGGUCAAACGAUCAACUCACAGAUGUAUUGACCAAGUCAUUAAGGGGUCCUCGGAUUGAGUUUAUUUGUUCCAAGCUUGGUACAUACAAUUUGUAUGCUCCAGCUUGAGGGGGAGUAUUAGGAUAUUUAUCCUAUUUUAUCAUCAUUAUAGUGUGUCAAGGGUUACCCUAUUUAUCAUGAUUAUAUUGUGUCUAGGAUUACCCUAUUUAUCAUGAUUAUAUUGUGUCUAGGGUUAUCCUAUUUAUCAUGUACUUGUGUAUCAAUUUAUUCUUAUAAAUAGAAGAUUGUGAGAGGGAUCAAUCAAGCCCUCUAGAAUUAUUUUACAGUUUCAAUCUUAAGUAGAAUCAUCUGCCGAUUUUCUACAAUGACUUCACUGUACCAGAAGACAUGUUGAUGAAAAUGACAUUUGGAGAAUAAAUUUCUUCUUCUACUGUAUUUUUUCUU